GGAGAGUGGAGAGUUCCGGCCUGCGAAUACCAUUAUUGACCGUGAGCAGAACGUGCCUACAGGACAUGAACCUGUCAUGAACCUGACGGGACCGUGGCGAGGAAACGCAACUGAGCUGAACCAACAAACAAAGAAACAAAGACAAAACUUCAAUGCUUUAAUUUACAUCUGAUGUUAGAAAUAAAUAAAGUCAAGUUCAUUAUAGCCACGUCUCAUGGACUCUACUUUCACGCGUUCAACAAAGCAAACACCGGAACUCACAAGAAGUGGUAAAACAAUUGACAAGUUUUAGCCAUUACAAUAGUCAAUAAUGCCGCAACUUUGGACCUUUUGAUGGAUCAUUACUGGAUACAAUUGGAUUACCCUUGGAACAAGGCAACCCUUGGAUUACUACGAACCUUUCACUGAGAAGCAGCAGCGCGCCAUGCGCAACAAACAAACCAAUCAAUUAACUUGAUCGGAGGUAUGUUCGCUUCCCAUUUGAAUGCAAUUUAGCCUACUAUGAAUGGACUAUACUUUUGAAACCUUGUUUGUGCACAUUUUGAACCCAAGAAACAAGUAUUUUUGGUUAGAAACCCGAUGUUUUAUAGUUUGACUUAACGUCGGGGAAUUUAAGCCAUAUCGUGCAUGGACAAACGCAAUUUACGCAUACAGAGCACGAUAGAAAGGCUUUUUGUUGAAUUUCUGGGUUUGAUGAAGUUGAAGAACGGUUUUUGUGAGAACGAAUGAAAAUUGUAUAGAUAUAAGAUGACGGAUCCCGUGAAGGAGGCCAGUUUGGGCCUACCUGAAGAAAACCUCAAUGAAGCAGCCAGAUUGCGCUCAUCGAGGUCGGGCAAAUUGUCUCAUUUGACGAGACGAAUGAACAUUGUAAAUACUUUGAUGAAUGACGAAACAAGUUUUAAUGAAGUGAAAAGUAAUAUGGUUAUGUUUAAUAACAUGUUAGAGGAAUACAAAUCUCUUCAUGAUUCAUACCAAGAAAUGUUAGAAGAGGAAGAUCGAAAUGAGGAUACUAAGUCCUGGUAUGCACCGAGGCUUGAGCCGAUAACCACCUUUUAGCCAACGUCACGAGGUGGAUAGAUUCAAUUGAAAAUCGUUUGCAUGAAGUUACCGUUUCCUAUACUGGAUUGGAAAAUAGUCCUGAUAUCAGUGUCAGGCCUACGGAGGAAGAUAGGCUGUCCUUGAGAAGCACUAGCUCUGUUUCAUCCACGACAUCUGUGCGCAUCUGUGCAGAGGCAGACAGAGAAGCACUACUCGUUAAGGCUGCAGCUUUACAGAAAAAGCAUGCGUUAGAGGAUGAGCAAGAUGAACUGAGAAAGGAGGAAGAUGAGCUGAGAAGGAGAAAGGAGCUCAGCAGAAAGAGAAUGGAGGCUCAUGACUUACAAGCUGAAUUGUCUGCAACUACAGCCAAAAUUAACUAUCUCAGAAAUGCUGAAGCACAAGCUGUUGAUACAACAUUCAAUGCAUUUAACCAUACAGAAUUUAAUGCAAUGAAUUCGUAUUAUGAGGAGAAUAUUGAAAGGAUUUCUGAGCCAAUUGCUGAACAGACUGUAAGAAAUACAAGGCCUAAAGAUGGGGUUCAUGUGCAAUUCCCUGUUUUGACCACAACAGCUAGAACACCUAGAAUACCUAGAAUGCCAUCUCUUUCACCGUCUUUCAGUACUGCUAGACCAGUGCAUGACCAGAGCCACGCUCUCCAGAAUAUGUCUUUAGAGAGCUUUUCAGUUCCACAGGGAGGACAGGUACCUGACAAUCUUACCAAAAUUCUGGAAAAGCAAAAUCAGUUGACAAGUCUCCUAGUGAAACAACAAUUGUUACAUACUUUGCCAAAAGGAGAUCUUGCAGUUUUUGAUGGUAAUAUUUUACAGUACAAUUCCUUUAUUCAUUCCUUUGAACACAUCAUUGAAAGUAGAACAGACAACAACCAAGACAGACUACAAUUUCUCAUCCAGUAUACAAAAGGACAAGCUCAGCAGCUUGUCAAAAGUUGUCAAUUCAUGGAUGCAAAUAGAGGCUAUAUAAAAGCAAGGCAAUUGCUUAAAGAGCAUUUUGGAAAUGGCUACAGAAUCUCGUGUGCCUACAUUGAAAAGGCCCUUGCAUGGCCAGUGAUCAAAUUGGAGGAACCAAGAGCUUUGCAGGACUUUGCAUUGUUUUUGAGAAGUUGCUGCAAUGCCAUGGAACAACUUCAGUACAUGGAGGAGUUAGACACAAUUUCUAACAUGAGAAAAAUCAUUUUCAUAUUACCAUAUAAGUUAAGAGAAAGAUGGCGCUCAAAGGCUUGCGAAAUACAACAACGUGAUAUCAGAGUGAGAAUGGCUGACCUGGUAUCUUUCAUUGAAAAACAAGCUUCCAUUGUCUCAGAUCCAGUUUUUGGUGACAUUCAGGAGCCUAGCUCCAGCAGGGUCACAUCCAGACCCCCAGUGAAGGCACAUCCUACAGGUAGUUUUGCUACACAAGUUGACGUGAAGCCGAUUCAGCGGACGUCAGAGGAAACCAGGACACGAGACCAACCAAGAGCAAACCAAAACAUGGUGCCAGAUAAAGCAUGUCUCUUCUGCAAUGAAUGGAGUCUGCUUUGGAUGUCUGGCAAAGGCUGGACACAUCAGCAAGGACUGUGGGAAACGUCUCCAGUGCACCAUCUGCAACAAGCAGCAUCCAAGUGCCUUGCAUAUCAAAGAGACCACACUGAAGAGCCUGCAGGUGUCUGUCAAAGCUGAUGAACAUACUGGGGCCGAUCCUGGCAGCUCUGCUACUUUUUGCACAGAAAAUCUCCUGAACAAGCUGAACAUCAGAGGAAAAAGGACUAACAUCCUCUUAAGGACAAUGAACCAAGAACAAUCUGUGAUUACCUACAUGGCAAAUGGAAUAGAGGUUAGUGCAUUGAACGAAAACAAUUUUAUUGCACUCCCUGAGGUGUACACACAAAAGAGUAUGCCUGUAGACACCGACAGCAUUCUAAAGACAGAAGAGCUAGCUAGGUGGCCUUACUUGAGUGAGAUCCAGAUCCCGAAAAUCAAGGCUGAAGUGGAGCUGUUGAUUGGCAACAAUGCUCCCAAAGCAAUUGAACCAUGGGAAAUAAUAAAUAGUCGUGAAAAUGGGCCAUAUGCUGUGAAGACCCUAUUGGGAUGGGUUGUUAAUGGUCCUCUAGAUGACAGUGUCGUGACAGACAGCAGUGGGCAUCAGAAAGUUACUGUCAACAGAACAUCAGUUGCAAAGCUGGAAGAUUUGAUUGUACAACAGUACAAUCAUGAGUUCAAUGAGAAAUUAGAUGACAAAGAAAUGUCAAUAGAGGAUAAAAGAUUGAUCAAAAUUGCAGAGCAGUGCCUAAUAGGCCUGAAAAGGAAGUUAAAAAGAAAUUAAACAUUCAGAAAUGAGUACACAGAGUUUAUGGAGGAUGUGAUCAGCAAUGGACAUGCUGAAGUGGUGCCACAAGCUGAACUUGAAAGAGAAGACGGCAAGUCUCUUGAAACAGAAAAUGAAGCCGUCGACCUGGUGACAGACCUUACCUGUGUUUGCCACAAGGGAGGAAUCCAUCUAACCAAAUGGGUGAGUAACAGUCGCACUGUACUGUCUCAUAUCCCCAAAGAAGACCGAGCGACUGAAAUGAAAGAACUUCAUUUGGACAGGGACAAACUCCCUACAGAAAGAGCCCAUCCUGCUUUUCCCCCUGGACUAUUUCAGAAGUCAGACACGUACAUCAGAUGGCGCUGGAAACAAGUUCAGUUUCUUGCCGAUCUCUUUUGGAAGAGAUGGACCAAAGAAUACCUACCCCUGUUACAGGAAAGACAAAAAUGGACUACAGUCAGGAAAGGAUACCAAGUAGAUGACAUUGUGAUGGUAGUGGACAGUUCAGCCCCUCGUGGGUCUUGGAACCUUGGAAGAAUAAUAGAAGUCAAACCAGAUUCCAGAGGUUUGAUGAGGACAGUGAAAAUUAUUACGAAGACUGGCGUGUUUGAGAGGCCAAUAACCAAGCUCUGUCUGCUUCUGGAAGGAGCAGAAAAGAUGACCACAAAGUCAUCGGCCAGAGAUAAGUAGUACCUACUCAUGUUAUGAUUUAAGUUAAUGGUAACAAUAAACUACAAAGAAUUUAGGCUCCUUUAUGAUUUGAGUGUUGUAAUAGUUGCCCAUGCACACUAUUAGGGGCCGGUGUGUAGGAGCCAUGUGAGACCUUUUUGAGUAUUCAGUUUGAUAUUUUAGUUUGUGUGACAAAAUUAUUAUUAGUGAACUUAUUUGUAUUGAAUUGUCCCAAAUUAGGAAAUUGUAAUUUGUUUCUGAGUGUGUGCCCCCUAUAGGUAAGGCACUAAUUGUCUAUAGCAUAAAGGUGUGCCAGGCCAAGGAGAGUGGAGAGUUCCGGCCUGCGAAUACCAUUAUUGACCGUGAGCAGAACGUGCCUACAGGACAUGAACCUGUCAUGAACCUGACGGGACCGUGGCGAGGAAACGCAACUGAGCUGAACCAACAAACAAAGAAACAAAGACAAAACUUCAAUGCUUUAAUUUACAUCUGAUGUUAGAAAUAAAUAAAGUCAAGUUCAUUAUAGCCACGUCUCAUGGACUCUACUUUCACGCGUUCAACAAAGCAAACACCG
ensembl:lncRNA